CCGCAUUCUGAUGAUGGGAGUGUAGAAAUCCAUUGCCUUGCACAGGCCCCUAAUGGAUCCUAUGAGCAGUAGGAGGGGGUUAUGACUAGAGAAGAUGCAGACAUAGGCCUGUCCCUGCAAGUUAGUUCCCUGAGCUGGAGCUGACUCUUCCCAGGAUGACUGAGAGUGGAAACAACCAGUCCCCCAGGGAAGGCCCAACCCUGACUUUUUAUCUCCACUGAAAAAUGAUAUCAGAAUACAUAGGUGUGGCCAGGUGCUCAUGUCUGUAAUCCCAGCACUUUGGGAGGCUGAGGCGGGUGGAUUGCUUCGAGCCCAGACAACAUGCUGAAACCCCAUCUCUGCAAAAAAUACAAAACUUAGCUGGGCGUGGUGGCCUGCACCUGUAGUCCCAGGACCUAGGCUUGCACCACCACUCUUGCUUCAUACUUUGAGGUUCCAGCCCCUUACCUCGCCAGUUUUUGCUGCUUCUCACGUAGCUGGGAGCUUGUGAAACCUAAUGCCAAAAUCAGUGUUUGUGUACUGGAUUCACCAGGGGAGAAAAUGUUGAAUCAGAUUCUCAGCCUGCCUGAGCCUCCUACCUUUUGUAUUCUUCAUGUAUCAUAAUAUUUAAUAAAAGGGAAACUGUAG
rnacentral:lncRNA from 1 species